UUUUUUUAAAAAUACCAGUUCCUUAUUCCUGGAGCCUAAAUAGUUCAUCAUUUUCUUGCUGUCUUCUUGCCCUCCUGCAGUGGGUUGAACGAUGUUCUUCCCCAACCUCCCCACCCCGCCAAAGACAGGACUACAAAUAAUUAAGGAUCUCAAGAAAAGAUCAUUCUGGAUUACCCAAAUUGCCACUAACUCCAAUGACAAACGAGUAUCCUUCAAAGAGACAGGAGAACAGCAGAGGGGAACACGCAGAGGAGAGGGGGCCACGUGAAGACAGAGGCAGAGGUCGGAACAAGGCAGCCACGAGGCGAGGAAGGCUUGGGGCCACCGGAAGCUGGAAGAGGCAAAGAAGCGUCCUUCCCCAGAGCCUUCGGAGGGAGCGCGGCCAUGCUGACCCCUCAAUUUGGGACCUGAAGCCUCCAGAACAGUGGGAGAAGACAUUUCUGUUGCUCCAAGCCACCAAGUUUGUGGUAAUUUGCUACAGAGGUCCUAAGAGACCCAGACACCGACGCACAGACACGCACACACACGGUUCUGCCCCCCAAAAGAAUUCUAGAAAGAAAACUGAGUAGGGAGAAAUACCCAUAUCCUGGUACUUCAGCUUGUGAAAACCUCGCGUGCGCAGAAAAGCCCCGUCUUCCCUACCUGAGGGAGGGAUCCCUGGGAGGGAUUGAUUCUCUCCAAGUCUCUUUCUUUGCUCCCUCUCCCGGGUCAGAGAAAGGCCGCUGGAUUCCCUCAGCUGCUUUAAACAGUUGCCCGCUUGUUUUGCUUCCAAACUCACGUGCUCUCUCAAUCACAGGGGAGCCUGGCUGAACAAAGCCUGACAUGUCCUAGCUCUUGGGUCUGUGCCUGGAAUCGACAACCCUCACCAGGCAGGCUGAACAAAACUCCCAGGAUGUCCCCGCAGAAUUCCCUCGGCUGCCUGGCUGUGGCCCUCCCUUCCUUCCCUCCCCUGAAGACAGCACGGCGUGUCUGGAGGCUCCAUGGUGAGCGAAGAAUGUUCUCCAAGUGGAAUCACACAGGCUGCCUCCAUAGCCCUGGUGGCUUCGGGAGGUCAAGGCCAAGGGCCCUCUCGAUGCGCUGACCUCCAGGCCUGACCACCGUAGUGUUCCAAGGGGGACUUCAGAUCUUGGCACGCUCCGUGGGUACACCAGUUCCUGUGAACUGAGACGUCCGUGUAGUUUGGAACGAAAGGGCAUCAUGCUUUCGUGGUAGAGGUGGUGACCUUCCACAGCGGGGACGUUACCAGCCAAGUUAUCAACACAACCGGAAUGGAAUCUCUCUCCAGCUUCAGGUUUGAUAUAAUGAACUACAUGGGAGUGAGACAUCGUGUGUUUCUACCUCUAAAAUGUUUGAAUCAGCAAGUGUCCUUGUAAAUAAGAAGUUGACUUUUCGAGAGGAUUUUAUCACGAACACGCGUAUUGCAAACGCAUUUCCUUUAUUACGCCUUAACAGAAGACCCAACUGAUAUUAAUGAUUUUCCUACUUCAUAUCCCACGAGUUGUAUGGCAACCGCGAAACAGGGUCAGGAUAAAAUGAGAAG